rnacentral:rRNA from 1 species
AUUGAACGCUGGCGGCAAGCCUAACACAUGCAAGUCGAACGAGUGGCGGACGGGUGAGUAAUGUCUGGGAAACUGCCUGAUGGCGGGGGAUAACUACUGGAAACGGUAGCUAAUACCGCAUACACUCGGAUGUGCCCAGAUGGGAUUAGCUAGUAGGUGGGGUAAAGGCUCACCUAGGCGACGAUCCCUAGCUGGUCUGAGAGGAUGACCAGCCAUACUGGAACUGAGCCACGGUCCAGAUUCCGACGGGAGGCAGCAGUGGGGAAUAGUGCACCAUGGGCGCAAGCCUGAUGCAGCCAUGCCGCGUGUAUGAAGAAGUCCUUCGGGUUGUAAAGUACGUUCAGCGGGGAGGCGUUACCCGCAGAAGAAGCACCGGCUAACUCCGUGCCAGCAGCCGCGGUAAUUC